rnacentral:rRNA from 1 species
UAUAGAGUUUUCUAAACUCCCAACCCAUGUGAACUUACCUUUUGUUGCCUCGGCAGAAGUUAUAGGUCUUCUUAUAGCUGCUGCCGGUGGACCAUUAAACUCUUGUUAUUUUAUGUAAUCUGAGCGUCUUAUUUUAAUAAGUCAAAACUUUCAACAACGGAUCUCUUGGUUCUGGCAUCGAUGAAGAACGCAGCGAAAUGCGAUAAGUAAUGUGAAUUGCAGAAUUCAGUGAAUCAUCGAAUCUUUGAACGCACAUUGCGCCCAUUAGUAUUCUAGUGGGCAUGCCUGUUCGAGCGUCAUUUCAACCCUUAAGCCUAGCUUAGUGUUGGGAAUCUACUUCUUUAUAGUUGUAGUUCCUGAAAUACAACGGCGGAUUUGUAGUAUCCUCUGAGCGUAGUAAUUUUUUUCUCGCUUUUGUUAGGUGCUAUAACUCCCAGCCGCUAAACCCCCAAUUUUUUGUGGUUGACCUCGGAUCAGGUAGGAAUACCCGCUGAACUUAAGCAUAUCAAUAAGCGGAGGAAAAGAAACCAACAGGGAUUGCCUUAGUAACGGCGAGUGAAGCGGCAACAGCUCAAAUUUGAAAUCUGGCCCUUGGGUCCGAAUUGUAAUUUGUAGAGGAUGAUUUUGGUGCGGUAUCUUCCGAGUUCCUUGGAACAGGACGCCUUAGAGGGUGAGAGCCCCGUACGGUUGAAUGCCUAGCCUCUGUAAAUCUCCUUCGACGAGUCGAGUAGUUUGGGAAUGCUGCUCUAAAUGGGAGGUAAAUUUCUUCUAAAGCUAAAUAUUGGCCAGAGACCGAUAGCGCACAAGUAGAGUGAUCGAAAGAUGAAAAGCACUUUGAAAAGAGGGUUAAAUAGCACGUGAAAUUGUUGAAAGGGAAGGAUUUGUGACCAGACUUUUUCUGGGCGGAUCAUCCGGGGUUCUCUCCGGUGCACUUCGCCCAGUAAAGGCCAGCAUCGGUUUUCGGCGUGGGAUAAAAGCAGUAGGAAUGUGGCUCUCUACGGGGAGUGUUAUAGCCUAUUGUAUAAUACCGCGCUGGGGACCGA